GACCGCGUAGCUUAGUUGGCAGAGCAUUGGGCUAGUAUUCCAAAGGUCGUAGGUUCGAUUCCCACCGUGGCCA